CGACACUGGUGAUCCAGAGUCUUUUCUCUUUCCAGCUGUUGCUGUAAUCCAUUUUUAUAAGAAAAUCUGCUCCAGCUGUGUCUUAUAAAGUAGGUAACUGAGACCAAUUUUGAUGUUUGUUUAUUUUUAUACCAACUGACAGUGAGUUUUAGACUUUGUGGAUGUGCCCUGACACUUAAAAAAACAUUGACAUAAGUUUAUGAGAAAAAAAUCUGUAAUGUUACAAGCAUUCAGUAGCCUAAUAUACUAACAAAUGCAUUGGAAGUAAAUGCAUUAAAUUUCAACAUAUACUUGGAGGGAGUUUGCUUUUUGCAAAGCAUUACAAAAUAAUUGUUUAAUUGUUUAGAAAAUCUGUGCAACAGAAGUAAAAAAAAUAAUAAUAAAAAACUAGUUCAAGGACAUUGGAGAGCAUAGAGCUGAGCUGAGACUGUUGAUAAAUGCAGAGGACAGUGGUGCCUAAAAGGAAAAUGUGAGAAAAUCAGAUUAAAUUAGAAUGUCCUUUCUCCAUGUCCUAAUUUCGAAACAGUAUCAAACAUCAUUGCAUUUAAAAUUCAUAAUCACCUGAUCUGAGCUCUUUCAUUUACCCAGCAAUGAUGAGUUUAACAAACGCUGUGGGAGAAAAGGAUAAAAGGACAAGAUUAAAUGAUAGAAUAAUACAUAGAAUAUAUUAGCUUUAACUUUUCAAAUUUGGAAAAUGGUUACUCCUUCAUAGCUGACUCAGCCGUUUCCAUCUUCCUGUCCUGCCAUCAGCUGUUCUACCUCUGAUUCUGUCAUUUUCUCACCUGCAGGUACAACGUGAUACUCCGUGCUUGUUUCUGGCAGCGUUAAUCACAAGGACCAGAGGGAAUUACAGUGAGACCUCAUCCUUAUUUUCCACAUGAGAGAGAGACUCACUCAGACAACAAACAGGAAUGUUAAAGUGUAAUAUGGGAGCUUGCAGACACCUGCGUGGAACCUCGUAUGACCACAUGGAAGCUCUUUUAUACUGACCUCAGGUGAGCUUCAAUUGUCCAGACCCCAUCACUGACCAUCAAGUUAGUUAAAGUUGCAUAUGUGGUCUCAAAUCAAUAUGAAGAAACAUUUAUGUCUUCACAUACAGUAGGUACUCAACUGAGAAUGGGGUUUUAAAGCCUAAAGUUUGUGUGAAACAUUUUAACCUUAUUUAUUUGAAUU
ensembl:lncRNA